UACGUAGGGGGCAAGCGUUGUCCGGAAUUAUUGGGCGUAAAGCGCGCGCAGGCGGUCUCUUAAGUCUGAUGUGAAAGCCCACGGCUCAACCGUGGAGGGUCAUUGGAAACUGGGGGACUUGAGUGUAGGAGAGGAAAGUGGAAUUCCACGUGUAGCGGUGAAAUGCGUAGAGAUGUGGAGGAACACCAGUGGCGAAGGCGACUUUCUGGCCUAUAACUGACGCUGAGGCGCGAAAGCGUGGGGAGCAAACAGG
rnacentral:rRNA from 1 species